UGAGCAACCUGCCCUUGACCCCGGAAUAACAGCUGGAAACAGCUGCUAAUACCGGAUACGACCUCCGAUGGCAUCAUCUGGAGGUGGAAAGCUCCGACGGUCAAGGAUGGGCUCGCGGCCUAUCAGCUUGUUGGUGAGGUAAUGGCUCACCAAGGCUUCGACGGGUAGCCGGCCUGAGAGGGCGACCGGCCACACGUGGGACUGAGAUACGGCCCAGACCUCCGUAGGGAGG
rnacentral:rRNA from 1 species